AAUUGCUAGAAAAGAGAGCAUUUUGAGAGAGAUGGCUGACCAGGAGAAAAGAGGCAAAGGAGGAGAAGGAGGCAAAGGUGGAAGCCUAAUUCCAGCAAAGAAGAAGUCAGUAAAGCAAAUGAUAGCUGAGAAAAUAGUUGAGUCUUCUUCCAAAGUUUUCAAGGAUGAUAAGAAGAAGAUAAAGCCUAGAGAUGAUGAAGACAAUGAUUAAUUAAACUUGUUUUUCUUGUAGUUUGUUUGUGUGUAUUUAUGGAUUAAAGUUUGCAAUUCAACAAUGAAUAUUUUGUUGUGAUAUUACAUCUUUCUAUUAAUCUUGUUGUAUACUUGUAUUAUUGUCUGGUG
rnacentral:lncRNA from 1 species